CUCUGUAUUACCCACUGUGUGAUUGUUACCCGCUCUGUAAUACCCGCUGUGUGAUUGUUACCCGCUCUGUUUUACGCGUUGUGUAAUUGUUACCUGCUCUGUAUUACCCGCUGUGUGAUUGUUACCUACUCUGUAUUACCCGCUGUGUGAUUGAUACCCACUGUGUGAUUGUUACCCGCUCUGUAUUACAGGUGUUCUAUCAAAUUUCCCUACAUCCCCUACCCUCAUCACUUCCGGUGAGGGAAAUCAGCUGGAUCCUGUGCUGCACAUGCAUGCUAGC